AGCCUUCCUCACAGAAGAUAUCAUGUAAUAUUUUCAAUAUUUCCUACAAUUAUUAUUAUCAUUACUAUAUUCCUCAUUUCUCAUGUGAUAUUCUACUGCAAAUAGAAUAAUUGUGCUUAGAGGGCCCAGGAGAGAUUCAGAAGCCAUAAUAACUGGUGGAUUAAUUCAAAUGCUAAGUUUCAGGUUAGUUGAUCUAGUUCAGUAUAAGUGCAUUACAGAAAAUGAAAACCAUCAUCUUCAUCAUCAUCAUCAUCAUCAUCAUCAUCGUCAUCAUUGUCGUUGUCGUCGUCGCCGACAUCAUCAUCGUUGUUGUCAUCACCGUUGUCGUCGUUGUCAGCAUCGUCUUCAUCUCCAUCAUUAUCAUCACCCCCGCCAACACCAUCACCUCCACCACCACCACCAUCACCUCCACCACCACCACUACAGUCUCCAUCUCCUUCAUAGUCAUUGUCAUUACUCCCCCCCACCACCUCUCAUCAUUAUCCUCGCCAGUCUCAUCAUCAUUCCAACAACAGCCACUGCUUCCAUCAUCACCGCAACCACCACUAUCAUUAUCAUCAUCAUCAUCAUCAUUAUCACCACUACACCACAAUAAUCAUCAUCACAACAUCGCUAUCACCUUCAGUAUCACCAUCACCAUUGUUCUCAUCACUACUACUACCACCACCACCACCUUUAUCAUCAUCAUCAUCGUCGUCAUUAUCAUCACUGUUGUUAUCAACAUCAUCAUCACCAUCGUCGACGUCGUCAUCAUCAUCAUCAUCAUCAUCAUAAUCAUUAUCAUCAUCAUCGUCAUCAUCAUCAUCAUCAUUAUCAUCACCAUCAUCGUCGGCGUCGGCGGCGUUGGCGUCAUCAUCAUCAUCAUCAUCAUCAUCGUCAUCAUCAUCAUCAUCAUUAUCAUCACCAUCAUCGUCGUCGUCGUUGUCAUCAUCAUUAUCAUCAUCAUCGUCGUCAUCAUCGUCGUCGUCAUCAUCAACAUCAUCCUUAUCAUUCCAACCACCACCACCACCACCACCACUGUCAUUACCACCGUUGUUGCAUGUAUCCACCUUGUACCGCACUAUUAGCUGCCACAGGAAUUAUUUUCAAUUACUCUCACCUCUGGUUGUGAGGUCUCUUGCGUCGUCUGCUGAUAUUUGAGGAACCUCCUGGAUGUAGGUGUGUAAAUAAUGCAUGAGAGUAGGUGUGUAAAUAUUUUGUGUGAUUGUGUAUAUGUGUGUGUGUGUGUGUGGUUGUGCGUGUGUGUGUAUGUGUGUAUCUUUGUGUGUGUGUUUGAGUGUGUAUGUGUGCAUGUGUGUGUAUGUGUGUGUAUGUUUGUGCAUGUGUGUGAGUGAAUGUGUGUGUGUGCGUGUGUUUGAGUGUGUGUAUGUGUUUGUGUAUGUGUAUGUGUGCAUACGUAUGUAUGUGUGUGUAUGUUUGUGCAUGUGUGUGAGUGAAUGUGUGUUUGACUGUGUGUAUGCGUGUGAUUGUAUGUGUAUGUUUGUGUGUGUUUGUGUGUGCAUGUGUUUGUGUAUGUGUGUUUGUGUGUGUGUGUUUUUGUGUGUGCGUGUUUGUGUGUGCGUGUUUUUGUGUGUGCGUGUUUGUGUGUGCAUGUGUAGGAGUGUGUAUUUCUCUCUGUGUAUGUGUGUUUGUGUGUGUGCUUUUGUGUGUGUGUGUGUUUCAGUGAGUAUGAGUUUGUGUGUGUGUGUGUGUGUUUGUGUGUGUAUGCGUUUGUGUGUGUAUGUGUGUACAUGUGUACGUGUGUGUAUGUGUGUGUUUGUUUAUGUGUGUAUGUGUGUGUGUUUUUGAGUGUGUGUAUGUGUUUGUGUGUGUUGCUAUGUCUAUGUGUGUAUAUAUGCACGUGCGUGUGUGUGUGUGUGUGUGUAUGUGUGUGUGUGUGUGCAAAUAGAAUGCUAUAUAACACAGUGUUUCUGUGUUGCAAAUGUCAUCUGUUUAUGCAAUGAGACCGCUGUUCCUCUUCGCUGUUCCUCUUCGUAUAUCCUGUUCACAACUACAAGCCUCAUUUAACAGCAGCUGAAAGAUAAAAAAAAAAAAACAAAAUGGCAAAAAAGAAGUAGAAAAUGCUCUAGGUAAAUAAUAACUACCAUCAUUUUUUCCACUGCCAGGUGUGGACGGAUGGCGGGAUGUGGAGGGGAGGUUGGGGAUAAUCCCUAUCCUGCGAAAAACCGGAAAUGAUGUACGGUUCUAACCUACCUCCUUAAUACUACCACCACCACCAUCAUCAUCAUCAUCAUCAUCAUCAUCAUCAUCAUCAUCAUCAUCAUAAUCAUCAUCAUCAUCAGUGCUGUCGUCAUCCUCCUCCUUUUCUUCCUCUUUCUCCUUUUCCUCCUUCUCCUUCUCAUUCUUCUCAUCCUCCUCCUUCUGCUCUUCUUCCUUCUCCUUCUUGUCAUUCUCCUCCUCGUCCUCCUUUUCCUCUUCUUCCUCCUGUUCUUCUUCCUUGUUUCUUGUCUUUCUCCUUCUUAUCUUUCUCCUUCUCCUCCUCCUCCUUCUCCUCUUCUGCCUCAUCAUCAUCAUCAUUCGUGUCACCAUCAUCAUCAUCAUUAUCAUCACUAUUAUCAUCAUCAUCAUCAUCAUCAGUGUCAUCGUCAUCAUCCUCAUCAUCAUCACCACCAUCAUCAUAAGUGUCACUCGUCCUCCUUAUCCUCCUCCUUCUCCUACUCAUUCUUCUCAUCCUCCUCCUCCUGCUCUUCUUCCUUCUCCUUCUUGUCAUUCUCCUCCUCAUCCUCCUUUUCCUCUUCUUCCUCCUGUUCUUCUUCCUUGUUUCUCGUCCUCCUUCUUAUCUUUCUCCUUCUCCUCCUCCUUCUGCCUCCUCAUCAUCAUCAUUCGUGUCACCAUCAACAGCAUCAUUAUCAUCACUAUUAUCAUCAUCAGUGUCUUCAUCAUCAUCAUCAUCAGUGUCAUCGUCAUCAUCCUCAUCAUCAUCACCACCAUCAUCAUAAGUGUCACUUGUCCUCCUUAUCCUCCUCCUUCUCCUUCUCAUUCUUCUCAUCCUCCUCCUCCUGCUCUUCUUCCUUCUCCUUCUUGUCAUUCUCCUCCUCGUCCUCCUUUUCCUCUUCUUCCUCCUGUUCUUCCUUGUUUCUCGUCCUCCUUCUUAUCUUUCUCCUUCUCCUCCUCCUUCUGCCUCCUCAUCAUCAUCAUUCGUGUCACCAUCAACAGCAUCAUUAUCAUCACUAUUAUCAUCAUCAUCAUCAUCAUCAUCAGUGUCUUCAUCAUCAUCAUAAUCAUUGUCAUCGUCGUCAUUCUCAUCAUCAUCACCACCAUCAUCGUUAGUGUCACUCGUCCUCCUUAUCCUCCUCCUUCUUAUCUUUCUCCUUCUCCUUCUUCUCCACUUCUUCCUCCUCAUCAUCAUCAUUAGUGUCACCAUCAUCAUCAUCAUCACCAUUGUCAUCAUCAUCAUCAGUGUCAUCAUCAUCAUCAUCAUCAUCAUCACCAUCAUCAUCAUGUGUUAUUGUCAUCCUCAUCAUCAUCACCAUUGUCAUUGUCACCAUCAUGGUUGUCAUCAUCUUAAUCCUUAUUUUCAUCAUUGUCAAGACUACUUAAAGAUGCAGACUGGCUGACAGUAUUGACAAACCAUUUCUGUACAUUAUUGUUUGUGUGUUUUAAUGUAUGUUUUCUGAAAUUCAUUAUAAGUACUUAAGUCCGUUAUACUUUCAGGAAGUUCAUUCCAUACCCUACAGUAUAAUUUUAUGCUAAUGAUUUUUCUAGUUCUUUUUUUCCAAUUCCACUUUUAUUUUAUUAUUUUAUUUUCACUUCCAUUUCGGCAUUUUCUGGCUGUUACCAUUUACUCUUUUACUCUUUUGCUUGUGUCAGUCAUUUGACUGUGGCCUUGCUGGAGCACUGCAUUAAAGGGGUUUUUUAAUCAAACAAAUAAACCCUAGGACUUAUCCUUUCUAAGCCUAGUACUUAUUGUAUCGGUCUCUUUUGCUGUAUCGGUCUCUUUUGCUGUAUCGGUCUCUUUUGCUAUGUGUAUGUGUGUAUGUAUGUAUAUGUGUAUGACUAUAUAUCCUUAUGCCUUAAAUGUAUACGUUUUUUCUAUCACUUGUAUUUUUAUAAUAAUUUUCUCCUUCAUAUAUUCGUUUUUUGUUCCUACUUUUUCCUGAUUGUCUCCCCUACCCCGGGCUAGUUUUUUGAGUAAGGUAACUAUCUUGAAUACACCAACCGUUUUUUUCCUUGUUAAGUUCUCUUUAGCUUUUUCUCUGCAUGUAAUGUACAUUUUUACUUAAAUAUUGUAACUUUUUUUCAAACAGUCUUGCCUAUAACUUUUUAGCCUCAUGUAAAAAAUAUAUAUAUAUUUCGUUUUUCAAUAUUAAUAUGUUUAUGUAUAACUCUCGAUGGGUUUUUUUUCUACUAGUCCACCCAUUACAUUAUAAUCUACUAUACACACAUGGCCCUGUUUAUUAUACUUUAUCUCAAUCUGUUACCACUUUUUAAAACGUAUCCGUUAGAUUUUUAUUCUUAUUUUUAUGUUAUAGUCUACUGCACAUAUAGGCGUGCAUACAUAUUGAUAUGCCUGUCUUUUUUCUCUUUCAUCUCUCUUACUAUUAUUAUUACUGUUAUUUUUUCCCUUUUACAACUAGCUUGUAAAUAUCCGAUUUCUUUCCCAAUUACCCCAUUUGUAUUCUCCCUUAUUGUAACUUAUUUUAAUUUUCUAUAUUUUAUUAAACCUUUUUUGAUGUCCUUACAAAAUUUUCUCACACUGAUGAAAAUGACAAUGCAUAAAUUUAAUUAUAAUUACUAUAGUUAUAAUAUUUUUCUUACAUAUUUGUAUUGUCCUUUGAAACAUGCGUAUGUAUCGAAUCCUAUUUUGUAUUAAAUCUAAUUUUGAUUCAACACCUUUUUCUCCUCCAUUUUUCUAUACUUGUUUAGGAUAUAUUUAUACCUAUAACGAUAUUUUUCAACUAUUAUUUUCGUAUUCUUAUUACUUGCUCUGGCUGUUUUUUUAUGUAUAUGAUGAAUCUUUAUUAGAAAUCAUUCUUUCUCACUUUUUGGACCGCUCAAAAAGUUUGAACUGUUCUCUUUUGAACUUAUUUUUCCCUAUAUAUAUAUAUAUAUACAUAUAAGUCACAAUAUAAAGAUUCAAGUAAUCUAGUAGUGCUCAUAAAAAAGUUCCUUAAUGCAUCAUUCUACAAAACAUAGAAUAUGUAGUACAAUACAAGAGAAAACAACAAGGAAUGUAUAAAGUCAUAAAUUUAUUAAUUUCAGGAUUGUUUAUAUUAAUGCAGAAAUGUAAGUAAUUUACUGGUGGGAUACUGUACAAUUGGAACUGGUUGUGGUGCAUCCCUCAGUACGGGCACAUCUCAUCAGGUGAUGUUAUAAGGGGUCUCUCAUUGAAUAAACUAUGUUUUGCUUUGUUUUUAUACAGCAUUGUUAGUGACUGCAGGUUUAAGCCAUUAGGCGAGAAUGCUCAAUGUGUGUGUGUAUACACACACACACACACACAGAUGAAGGGGUAGUGAAAAGUUUCUAGCUUUGGGUAUAAGAAAAUACAGGAGGAUCAGUUAAUUAUGAUUUUAUUCAACAUAUUUCCCUCUCAGAGUCACACACUUACUGCAGUGGUCCUUCAGUUUUUGUAAGCCCUGUAAAAGAAAUCGGAAGGUUGGGCCUCCAACCAAGCCUUUCGUGAUACCCUUAAAGCUAGGAAGUUUUCAGCACUCCCUCAUGUGUAUAUGCAACAUGUUUCUUUCAGUUUCUGUCUACCAAAUCCACUCACAAGGCUUUGGUCAUCCUGAAACUAUAGUAAAAGAUAUUUGCCCAAGAUGCCAUGCAGUGGGACUGAACCCAGAAUCAUGUGAUUGGGAAGCAAACUUCUUACCACACAGUCAUGCCUACACCUAUUUGAUCAUUUAUUCCAGAAUUUUUUCCAAAAUAAUAAAUUUAGUUUAAUUAUAAUUCAGAAUAAGUUUAUUGAUUUCAUCCAUCUAUCUUGUUCAGUUAAUUUGGCAUUCAUCAUUAUCAGAGAACUUAGUAAUAGAGCUCUCAUUAAGUGAGUUAAUGGCACAUUAUACAGCUACAGUCCAUAUAGCCAUAUAUGGGUUGUUAAAGCAAAAAGCACAAAUUCCCAUUUCCCUAUUACACUCACAUAUAUUCGUGGUCAAAAUAUUCGUCAGUGCAUCAUUUUUUACACUUCACUAAUUAUUUUUAAAAACAUAAUUUCUUCCCACAUUUGACCUUUUCUUAACUUGCAAGCCAUUUCAAUUGUUUUGGGUAAUGUUCAAAACAAUUUGCAUUAGAUUCCCCUGUGAAGGACCAUCGUUUGAUCCUUGAGUGCAUUCUACUAUAAAUACUUGCAUCGGUUUAAUAAGGCUUUGACUCUAUUUUCCAUUCUGAAAAGCAUUCAUUUUUGUCCCAUUAAUGUGUGUGUGUAUGUGUGUGUGUGUGUGUGUGUGUGUGUGUGAGUGUGUGUGUGUGUGUGUGCACGCGUGUGUGUGUGUGUGCAUGUGUGUGUGUGUGUGUGCUUGGGUGAGUAUGUAUAUAUAUAAGUGUGUAUAUGUGCUUGUGUGUGUAUGUGUGUGCAUAUGUGCAUGCAUGUGUGUAUGCUUGUGUGCAUGUAUGCAUAUAUAAAUAUAUGUGCAUGUAUGUGUGUGCAUUUGUGUGUGUGCAUGUGUGUAGUGUAUGAAUAAAUAAAUAUAUUUCUUUACUGCCCACAAGGGGCUAAACAUAGAGGGGACAAACAAGGACAGACAAACGGAUUAAGUCGAUUACAUUGACCCCAGGGUGAAACUGGUACUUUAUUUAUCGACCCCGAAAGGAUGAAAGACAAAGUCGACCUCAGUGGAAUUUGAACUCAGAACGUAAUGACACAUGAAAUACCACUAAGCAUUUCACGCAGCGCGCUUAUGUUUCUGCCAGCUCGCCGCCUUGAGUAAAUAAAUAUAUAUAUAUAAAUGUGUACAUGUACAUGCGUGUGUAUCUGUGGGAUGUGUGUAUGCAUGUUUAUAUAAAUCAGUGUGCAUAUGUGUGUGUGUGCAUGUAUGUGUACAUGUGCAUAUAUGUGUGCGUGUAUAUGUGUGCAUGUGUGUUUGUGUGUGUGUAUGUGUGGGGUGUGUAUGUAUAUAUAAAUGUGUGUGCAUGUUUGUGUGUUUGUGUGUGCAUGUGCACAUGUGUUUGUGGAUGUGUGUGUGUACGUGUACAUGUGCAUGUAUGUGUGUGUAUAUGUGUGCAUGUGUGGUGUGUGUGUAUGUAUAUAUAAGUGUGUAUAUGUGCUUGUGUGUGUAUGCAUGUGUAUAUGCAUGUGUAUUUAUUUAUAAAUAUGUGUGCAUGUAUGUGUGUGUAUACAUGUACAUGGGUGUGUGUGUAUAUAUGUAUAUAUAAGUGUGUAUAUGUGCUUGUGUGUGUGUGCAUGUGCAUAUGUAUUUAUUUAUAAAUGUGUGUGCAUGUGUGUUGUGUCUGUAGCAAUCUAAAUAUAAAUAUAUGUGCAUGUAUGUGUGUGUGUAUACGUGUGCAUGUGUAUAUGUAUGUGUAUAUGCAUGCGUGUGCAUGUGUGUGUGCAUGUGCAUGUGUGUGUGUGCAUGCGUGUGCAUGUGUGUGUGUGUGUGUGCAAGACAAAGACAAUGGUUAUUAGUAAGACAGAACAAAAGUAAACAAAUAUAGAGGUAGACAAACAGAAACCAGAGCAAGUAAAAUACUUCAAGCAUUUGUGACAAAUAAUAAAACAAGAAGACAGCUGUGAAGAAGUUGCUCAAAGAAUAAAAAAAGUCAAAGCAACAUUUAUAAGAAUAUAAAAAGUUGUUCACCUAAAAAAAAGUCAUUCACUGCAUCAAAGAUUGAGGACUGAAAACGGUUAUAUUAUGGCUGUGAAGGUUUGUGGUUCUGUGGUUACUCUCUUUACUCAUUUUACUCUUUUUACUCUUUUACUUGUUUCAGUCAUUUGACUGCGGCCAUGCUGGAGCACCGCCUUUUUAAUCGAGCAACUCGACCCUGGGACUUAUUCUUUUGUAAGCCCAGUACUUAUUCUAUCGGUCUCUUUUGCUGAACUGCUAAGUAAUGGGGACAUAAACACACCAGCAUCGGUUGUCAAGCAAUGCUAGGGGGACAAACACAGACACACAAACACACACACGCAUAUAUAUAUAUAUAUAUAUAUAUACAUAUAUACGACGGGCUUCUUUCAGUUUCCGUCUACCAAAUCCACUCACAAGGCUUUGGUCGGCCCGAGGCUAUAGUAGAAGACAUGUGGUUGGUAAACAAGCUACUUACCACACAGCCACUACUGCGCCUAGGGUAUUUGGCUUGCAAUCAUAAGGUCAAGAGUACAAUUCCUGGUGGCGUGUUGUGUCCUUGAGCUUGACAGUCUAUUUCACAUUACUCCAGUCCACUCAGCUGGCAAAAAUGAGUGGUACCUGUAUUUCAAAGGGCCAGCCUUGUCACAUUCUGUAUCAUGCUGAAUCCCCUCCUGAGAACUAUGUUAAGGGUAGACAGGUCUGCGGAGUGCUCAACUGCUUGCAUGGUAAUUUCAUGAGCAGGCUUUUCUGUUGACUGGAUCAACUGGAACACUCUUCAUCAUAACCAAUAGAGUACUAGUUAUAUUACGAUAAGGAUCUUUUCGGUUUGAACGGCAGUUUUUUCUAGCGGUGUCAUAUGAAAUUGUCACCCAUAAUUAUGACCCUAGAAUCGAUCUAUUGCAUUUCAAUCUCUUUUAGGGUUAGGGUUAGUUAGGGUUAGGGUUAGUUAGGGUUAGGGUUAGGGUAGGGAAGGGGUAUCUUUUUUUCUUCAGAAAUGUAAAUAAACCCAAUCUGUUUCUUAAACGAAGGACAUAUUCUUAUGGCACAGAAUGCUUUUUAACUCAAUAGAUGUCACUGAUUGGUUGAAAUUCCAGAAAUUGAAGAAAAAAAACAACAAAUAUCUUACAAACUAUCGAAUUUUCUCAAUAAAAGCAAGAGAAAAAGAUGUUUUAUAAACACAUUCUACCAGUAUAUGAAGUUUAAAAUUUUUUAAUUACUGAGAAAUUAUGUUAAAAAUUGCCGUUCAAACCGAAAAGAUCCUACGACAAUUGUCCUCUUUGGAGCAGGAGCUUGAAUAAUGUACACAGCUAUGGAGAAAAAAAUAGCAGUCUUUGAUAUGUAGAUCUUCCAUUGAUUGGGCAGGUUAAACUGGAAAGACAAGGUUAUAAAUGCUGCAGUACUAGAAAAGCUAAGAAUCCAAAGACAUCUAUCAUCAAGUAUCUAGUCCACAAAGCUGUCUUAUUAUUUUGGACAUACCUAUUUUUACUACCCACAAGGGGCUAAACACAGAGAGGACAAACAAGGACGGACAAACGGAUUAAGUCGAUUAUAUCGACCCCAGUGCAUAACUGGUACUUAAUUUAUUGGCCCUGAAAGAAUGAAAGGCAAAGUCGACCUCGGCGGAAUUUGAACUCAGAACGUAACGGCAGACGAAAUAUCACAAAGCAUUUCGCCUGGCAUGCUAACGUUUCUGCCAGUUCGCUGCCUUUAUGGUACAUACUAUGUACCAUAAGUCACUGCCCAAGAUCAUUCUAGCAGGAGCUGUUGAGGCAAAGAGAGCAAGAGGCCAUCAAAGACGUUUGCGCAUUGAUGACCUCAAAGAAUGGACUGGGAACAAGUGCCUGGUUGAUUGUAUGCAUGCAGCACAAAAGAGGGAAACUGGAGAGUUGCACCAAGCUGAUCUUUGGACACAAGGAAGACAAUACCUGCAUGAUGGCUGAUAUGUGAACACAUAAAUGCAAGACAAGCUUGGGGAAAAUACUACAGAAAUAGUGUUAGGGUUUUAUUAAACCUGAAAAACUUCACAAACUAUUGCUCUGCAUUUUACAUAAGCAAUCAUUGGAGAGAAACUAACUUUUGAAACAAUACAGUAGUUUCAAAUGUUGAAGGAAGCAAUCAAAGGAAGCAGUUCAUCAAAUAAGCAUUUAAAGCUAAUUGGACCGGAUUUUUCAUAUUUCAUGAUCAAUGGAAUCGUUUAGGUAAGUCAAUUAACCAUUGAGGAAAAUAACAUAAACAUUAAUGAUGAGAGAAAUAAAGUUAAAUAAAAUGAAGUGUUAUGCUUUCAUGAAGGGAAAUUAUAAUUUCUGUUAGCAAAGAGAGAAAAUUAAGCGAAGGCCAAUUUAGAUUUUAAGAAAUAUAGAUGAAGUAAGUUGACAAAUAAAAUUACAACUCAAAUAAGAGCAAACAAGUAUAUAAAGAAAUAAAUAAAUUUGACAUGGAGGAUAGGAUGCAAAAAUAAAUCAAAGAGGAAAAGGGAGUGAAAGAAGGUUUAUGUAAGAACAGGAAGGGAUGAGAAAAUAAAAAGAGGGGUUUGUUUAGGUAGUUAUAGAAGCUAUAAAUAAUCAACUUAGCCAACAGAUUCAAUCAAUUUUGAAAUGUGACAACCCCAGUCCAAUCAACUUUAAAUGAUUUUUUUUUUUUUGAGAGGAAAUGGAGUUACUCAAUUACAUCAUACCCAUACCUGAACUUAACUGGCUAUUAAUUUUAUUGACACUGGGGAAAGUUGAAAGUUAAAUUUGACCUUGAUAGUUUUGAACUCAGGAUGUAAAAAAGCCAAAACUAAUGCUACUAAGUAUUUUAUCCAAUGAUCUAUUCAGUCAGCAAAUUCGCUACCCUAACAAUAAUACUAAUAAUAAUAAUAAUUAUUAUUAUUAUAAUAAUAAUAAUAAUAAUAAUAAUAAUAAUAAUAAUAAUAAUGAUGAUGAUAAUAUGAUGAUGAUAAUGAUGAUGAUGAUGAUGAUGAUGAUGAUGAUGAUGAUGAUGAUGAUGAUGAUGUUUCGUUUUUGGAUUUGGUUUGCAAGAUUCUUUAUAUGCAAGAUUCGUGUGUUGAAGCAUAUUCUGUUGUGUCUGGGGAGAGUCAUUCUCUUUUAGUGCCUUAUGAUUUAACACACUCACCGGUAAAAUUUCCACUUAUUUCCUUCUUUAUUUUUCUAAAAUUUUCGUUGCAUCUUGCAACCUUUUCAAUAGUCUUGAGUCAAGACUCGUACCCAAAUCUUCAGCAAUAAUGGACUGAACUGAACCAUAACUAAUCUGCAAAUCCUCUGAUAACUCACAGAUGGUAAUUCAAUGACUUCCUCUUACAGCUGCAUGCACAUCUACGAUGUUUUUCUCAGUUCUGCUGGUUCCAGGUCUCCCAGAAUAUUCAUCAAUAGAGACAUUUUUUCAGCCAUCUUAGAAAUGUCUGAACCACUUGUACAUUUGUGUGUGGCUCAUACACUCCUCUCCAUACACUUUCUGCAACUUUGCAUUGGCCUCUGAGCAGGUAUCACCAUGACAACUUUUUCUGUCGUGGCCAAUGCAAUGAUCACACGCUACAUACGUUCCUUUCAAGUACUGCUGUAAACAGCGGAAGUGAGCGAGAAUGUUAAAACUUAGUGCACAUACACUGCAGAGUUCAAGGUCAAUCUUUGCCAAGCAGUUUUACUCAGCAUGCUUUAGCUUCAUUACUAUGACAACAGUCCAGACACUUAUUGAUCAAACCUUGUAAAAUCCUGAUAAAAUUCUGUUACACUUGCACACAAACUAACAUGUGAUAGCAAAAAUGUGCUGUUUUUUUUUAAAUCUAUAAUAUAUUAGCUUUGAUAUAAUAAACUAAUAAAUAUGAAUUAGAUUUAGCACAUAAUUUUCUCGAUGUCACAAUUUUGUUCAGCAGAAUAAUCACUUUCAAGAGCAAGUGUAAUUUACAAAGAGAGAGUUUGAAGUUAAGGGCACCCAUGCCAGUGACACAUGAAAGACAUCCUGUAUACUCUAUGUUGUUUGUUCCUUCUCGAGCCAUGCCUGGCUCAUAAGGACCGGUUUCCCAGUUUUUUGGCGUAUAAGUUCCCCACCUGGAUGGGACACCAGUCCGUCGCAGGUGAGCUGCAAGAUGCAGGAGGAAAGAGUGAGAGAAAGUUGUGGUGAAAGAGUCAGCAGAAGUUCACCAUUACCUUCUGCCGGAGCCGCGUGGAGCUUAGGUGUUUCGCUCAUAAACACACACAUCGCCCGGUCUGAGAUUCAAACCCGCGAUCCCUCGACUGCGUGUCCGCUACUCUAACCACUAGGCCAUGUGCCUCCACUCUGUAGACUCUAUGGAGUGGUUGGUGCUAGGAAGAGCAUCCAACCAUAGAAACUAAGCCAAAACAGACUGCAGCCUAGUGCAGCUCUCCAGUUUAAGGAGUUCUCAACCAUUUUUCAUCUAUGGACCCCUUUUGAUAACUAUUAUAUUUUGGUGAACCCCCAUAGCCAUUUGAUGUUUAAAAACUAGUUUUAUAGAAACUUCUUUCAAAAUUCUUAUUUUGUUAUUCACACAUUAACUUGUGUAGGUAGAACUACAUAAAAUGCUAGAGAAAGAAACCUAGCUGUUUCCUGCAAUACAUACAUCUAAAACAAAAUUUUUUUCAGAGACCCUUAAAAUACUUAUUGUGGAUCUCCAAUUAGUUAUUUUGCUGUGUGGACCCACAAAAAUCUGAUAUGGACCCUCAGGGGUCAUGGGGACUCUGGUUGGGAACCACUGGCCUAACCCAUGCCGGCUUGGAAAACGGACACUAUAUGAUGAUGAUGAUGAUGAUGACAACAACAAUGAUGAUGAUGAUGAUGAUGCUGACAAUGAUGAUGAUGAUGACGAUGAUGAUGAUGAUGACAAUGAAAACUACGAUGAUGAUGACGACGACGAUGACAACAACGAUGAUGAUGAUGAUGAUGAAAACAUAAUAGUCUAAGUAUUCUAUAAUUCAAGGUGUUCAAGGAGUGAAUCAUUUUGUUUUUUGGGGAUUUAUUCUUAAUGUAGCUUAUCUUUAUUUGUCACUAUCCUCUGCUUUUCAUUUAUAUUUUAUAGACCUGCAUUUAUUUUUUUGACAUUUCCAUAUUCCAUCACAUACCCCCUCCUACUCCUUGCUUGAUUCACUCCUAUUCCUUUCACUUCUCUCCAAACUAAUAUUCACCAUUGACCAUGCCUCCACCAUGUGCCCCAUUCACUGCCCCUCACCUCUAGCCCCAGUUUUAAUAAUCUGUAACACCUCCUUUCACACUCCAGUGCAUUUGCCUUCCCUCCAACCCUUUCUGUUUUUCUAUCCCUAUUCUCUGUCUUGCAUCUGACUCUCUCUUUCUCUCUCUCCCCCCCCCCCAUCUGGAGAAGCCAUGUAUAUCCUCUUCAGCAAAACACCUCUUCCUGCCCCUCUAUUAUAAUUCGACCUCCCUCAGUGCUAUACUCCCACUCAAUUGAAGGGUUUCAUCUUGAAAGUUACAUGGUAACCUCACUAGUGCAGGUGCCACAAAAAAAAUGCACCCAGUACUCUGCGUAAAGUAGUUGACAUUAAGAAGGUCAUCCAGCCAUAGAAACAUGCCACCAAAGCAGACAUUGGAGCACAAUGCAGUCCUUGGACACAUUAGUUCCUGUCAACCUGUCCAGCCCAUGCCCAAUGGAACACUGACAUUAAAUGAUGUUGCUGAUGAUGAUGACUUAUAUACGUAUAUAUGAGGGGAAGUAAAAACUUAUCGUCAUAACUUAUAUUUAUUAUUGUCACACUGCCUUUUGUGCAUGCGUGCUUAUAGUUGGUACUGUUGUGGUCACAUGAUUGAAGUUUGAACCUGAUUAUGCCAUUUUUCUUUCUGGCUUCACAGUGUAAGCAUGGCAGCUGUACUAGUAUUGUGCACCAGAGAAGAACAAAGAGCAGUGAUCCGAUUUCUCUGGUCGGAAGGUGUGUCAUCAUCAUCAUUUACCGUCCGCUUUCCAUGCUAGCAUGGGUUGGACGGUUCAACUGGGGUCUGGGAGGCCAGAAGGCUGUACCAGGUCUAGUCUGAUCUGAGAGAUGGUAGUGGUGAACCGUUAUCAUCCCUCAGAUCACCGCUUUUUAUUCUUUCUUGGUGCACAUUGCUAGUAGAGCAGCCAUGAUUACACUGUAAAGCCAGAAAGAAAAAUGGUGCAAUCAAGCUCAAACUUCGAUCAUGUGACCACAAUAGUACCAUCUAUAAGCAUGCGUGUGCAGAAGGCAGUGCAACAAUAAUAAAGAUAUGUUAUGAUGAAAGUACAAAUAAUUUUUGACUUCCCCUAGUAUAUAUAUAUAUAUAUAUAGAUAGAUAGGUAGAUAGAUACACACAUACAUACAUACAUACAUACAUACAUACAUACAUACAUACAUAUAUAUAUAUAUGUUUAUAUAUAUAUAUAUAUAUAUAUAUAUAUAUAUAUAUAUAUACAUAGUUGUGAUACCUGUGCCGGUGGCACAUAAAAAGCACCAUCCAAACGUGGCCGAUGCAGCGCUGCCUCGACUGGCUUCCGUGCCGGUGGCAUGUCAAAAGUACCAACCGAUCGGGGAUUGCUGCCAGACUCCCCUGGCACCUGUGCCGGUGGCACGUAAAAGCACCCACUACACUCGCGGAGUGGUUGGCGUUAGGAAGGGCAUCCAACUGUAGAAACACUGCCAGAUCAGACUGGAGCCUGGUGCAGCCUUCGGGCUUCCCAGACCCCAGUCGAACCAUCCAACCCAUGCUAGCACAGAAAACGGACGUUAAACGAUGAUGAUGAUAGUAGAAUAAGAAAUAGAAAAUCCGUGGUACAGUAUUGUAUAUUUGAAAAAAUGAAUAGAAAUAGCUUUUCUGAUGAUUUUUUCCACUUUAAUACAAAAGUCCUUUCUAUUCAGUUUUUCAAAUAUAUAUAUAUAUACCGGAGUAAACACAUAAAUGUGAAACAAGGUGGAAAAAAGAGUACUCAAAUACCAGUGGUAGAGUAAUAUGCAGAAAAAAGCAGCAGAAAAUUCAACAAAACCUGUUACUCUGAGUUUCACAUUCCCGUUCUAGCAAAAACUGUCCGACGAACGGGAACGUGAAACUCAGAGUAACAUUUGCUGAAUUUUCUGCUGAUGAUAAAUAAUGUAUAUAUAUAUAUAUAUAUAUAUCUGUAAAUAUAAUAUGUGACAAUUAUUCAGUAGCCAUGAUAAAUCUCCGAGUUUUGGAUGUCGGGGCAGAAACCCAUGCCGAUAUCUCUUCAGUUAUCAGGUCAUCAAAAAAAAUGCUAUGAAAAUAGCUGUUAAAACAAAGGGAAAUUACUGUGUGAUUGACUGUUAUUAAGACAAAAGAGCUAUUC
rnacentral:lncRNA from 1 species